UACGUAGGAGACGAGCGUUGUCCGGAGUUACUGGGCGUAAAGGGUGCGCAGGUGGCGGCGCGCGUGGGGGGUGAAAUCGCCCGGCUUAACUGGGCGGGGGCCUUCCAGACGGCGUGGCUUGAGCAGCGGAGGGGGACGUGGAAUUCCGGGUGGAGCGGUGAAAUGCGUUGAUAUCCAGCGGAACUCCGGUGGCGAAGGCGAGGUGCUGGACCCUUUCUGACGCUGAGGCGCGAAAGCCAGGGGAGCAAACGGG
rnacentral:rRNA from 1 species